AAUCCUAUACGUUAAAAGUCGUGAGGGUUCAAGUCCCUCUAUCCCCA
rnacentral:tRNA from 1 species